rnacentral:rRNA from 1 species
CCUACGGGCGGCUGCAGUGGGGAAUAUUGGACAAUGGGCGAAAGCCUGAUCCAGCCAUGCCGCGUGUGUGAAGAAGGCCUUCGGGUUGUAAAGCACUUUCAGUGGGGAAGAAAGCCUUGGGGCUAAUACCCUCGAGGAAGGACAUCACCCACAGAAGAAGCACCGGCUAACUCCGUGCCAGCAGCCGCGGUAAUACGGAGGGUGCGAGCGUUAAUCGGAAUUACUGGGCGUAAAGCGCGCGUAGGCGGUCUGAUAAGCCGGUUGUGAAAGCCCCGGGCUCAACCUGGGAACGGCAUCCGGAACUGUCAGGCUAGAGUGCAGGAGAGGAAGGUAGAAUUCCCGGUGUAGCGGUGAAAUGCGUAGAGAUCGGGAGGAAUACCAGUAGCGAAGGCGGCCUUCUGGACUGACACUGACGCUGAGGUGCGAAAGCGUGGGUAGCAAACAGGAUUAGAUACCCUAGUAGUC